rnacentral:rRNA from 1 species
UUUAAAUUGAGAGUUUGAUCCUGGCUCAGGAUGAACGCUGGUGGCGUGCCUAAUACAUGCAAGUCGUACGCUAGCCGCUGAAUUGAUCCUUCGGGUGAAGUGAGGCAAUGACUAGAGUGGCGAACUGGUGAGUAACACGUAAGAAACCUGCCCUUUAGUGGGGGAUAACAUUUGGAAACAGAUGCUAAUACCGCGUAACAACAAAUCACACAUGUGAUCUGUUUGAAAGGUCCUUUUGGAUCGCUAGAGGAUGGUCUUGCGGCGUAUUAGCUUGUUGGUAGGGUAGAAGCCUACCAAGGCAAUGAUGCGUAGCCGAGUUGAGAGACUGGCCGGCCACAUUGGGACUGAGACACUGCCCAAACUCCUACGGGAGGCUGCAGUAGGGAAUUUUCCGCAAUGCACGAAAGUGUGACGGAGCGACGCCGCGUGUGUGAUGAAGGCUUUCGGGUCGUAAAGCACUGUUGUAAGGGAAGAAUAACUGAAUUCAGAGAAAGUUUUCAGCUUGACGGUACCUUACCAGAAAGGGAUGGCUAAAUACGUGCCAGCAGCCGCGGUAAUACGUAUGUCCCGAGCGUUAUCCGGAUUUAUUGGGCGUAAAGCGAGCGCAGACGGUUUAUUAAGUCUGAUGUGAAAUCCCGAGGCCCAACCUCGGAACUGCAUUGGAAACUGAUUUACUUGAGUGCGAUAGAGGCAAGUGGAACUCCAUGUGUAGCGG